AAAGAAACUCACCUGUGGGAAUCCCGUUAAGCUCAACGCCCCUGAGUUUGUGUCCCCAAUACUGCAUUCUGCAUCUGUUCAGCAUCUCGAGCCACUGCGUUUAUGAGAAAAUCUGCCCCCUCCCAUUC